rnacentral:lncRNA from 1 species
GUGACUUAGAACUCUGAGUCCCAUCUGUUUCAUUGAUGGGGACUUUGAGUUGGGAAGGCACGAGGGCAGAGAAAGUCAUUCCUAAGAGCUUGAUUCACUUCGCCUCUCUCCUUGGACAAUGCAACCUGCACACGAUCAAGUUGUUUUUAGAUGGGAACUGACGGAUACAAGGACAGACCCCCCCGGAUGAUGAGUCGCUUGUUUCUGCAGGUUAUUAACUGGAUAGGGUUUGUUGGAACUACCGUGUCACAGAAUUUGAAAGUGGACUAUGACCCAACCCCGCCUUUUGCAGAACAAAAAACAAAACAGAACGUUCAAGAAACCAGUCGUGGCACUCACUGACACGGAGUGUGUGGCAUUCCCGGUUGGUGGGGACCCGAGAUGGUGGCUACAGACUCUGCAAAGACUGGGUUUUCCAGAUCAGGAGGCUGAACAGCAGCGCUGUCACAGGCAAGUCUGUUUGGUGGGUGUUUGGAGACCAAAGGGGAAGGUGAGGACCCUGGCUUCUUCCAAGAGAGAGUGCUCAUUGCUUUUCUAUUUUCAUAAAGAGGAAAAAAAAAAAAAAUCUCCGCGUUUUUAUACUGUGGCAGAACAAACCUAACAGUGGCUCAUGUUUCACCAUUUAUGGAACCAAGUUCACAUACUCCUGACAGUUCGAUCAUGUUUGAGAUGCUGAGAAAUAUUUGUUUUCCUCUGUGAAGCUGGCGUGGCGAAAAUCUACUUGCUUGAUUACUGAUGCUCUGUGCUCGUGUUUCUCAACCUCAGCCCUAUCGAUAUUUGGGGUAAGGUCAUCCUUUGCUGUGGGGCUGUGGCAUGUUCUGGAACAGCCCUGGUCUCUACCCACUCGAUGCCAGUAGCAAGCUCUCAGCUGGGACAACCAGACAGGUCUCCAGGUAUUACCAACUGUCCCCUGGAGGCCCAGAUUGCCCCGGGUUGAAAACCAUUGCUCUGCACUGCUAGGAAAGCAAUCCAUGGAGACCAGGAGGGGGUAGGUAAUGAGAAGAAAACACAGAAGCCCUCCUGCUGCUUUGCCUAAGCUGACCUUGAUGGGGCGCACCUUGAGGACCAUUUGCCCUAAUCUCUUGCGCUUCUCUCUCUUAGAUCUCAGGAGAAGGAAGAUGCAGAACCUCAGCCGGCACCCAUUAAACUCUAGGUCUGAAACGAGAUGCUUAUAAUACAGUAGGAGCUGGCUGGAGCUCUCCAGUCAGUGAAUGGAAG